AACGCACCUUGCGCUCCUUGGUAUUCCUUGGAGCAUGCCUGUUUGAGUAUCAUGAGCAAAUCUCAAAGUCGAACCUUUUGUUAAUUCAAUUGGUUUUCGCUUUGGACUUGGAGGUCUUGCAGAUUUCACCGUCUGCUCCUCUUAAAUGCAGUAGCUGGAUCUCAGUAUUAUGCUUGGUUCCACUCGGCGUGAUAAGUAUCACUCGCUGAGGACACUGGUAAAAAGGUGGCCAGGAAAAAUACCGAUUGAACCGCUUCUAACGGUCUAUUAACUUAGACAAUUACCCCCCCUUAAGUUUGAUCUCAAAUCAGGUAGGACUACCCGCUGAACUUAA
rnacentral:misc_RNA from 1 species